CUUUGCAUCCAAUACCAUAGGCCAGUGCAGAAUCUUUGCAUGCUCAAUUUGGGUUUUAUGGACGGAGAGAAACAAAUGGACUCAUGAGCGGCAAAAAAGAUCUGGUUCAAAAAUUGCUAAUUUUGUAAAAAAUUACAUUGCUGAAUUAGACGGGUUGGAAAAAACUUUACCCGUGAGUAUGAAGGGAAAUGAGAUCUGGAGGCCACCGUGAACUCCGUUUGUCAAAAUUAAUUUUGAUGUGGCUUUCAACAAAACUAAUAACAAUUCUUGCUCGAGGUUGUAGUAAGGGAUUUUAAUAGAGAAAUAUUGGCAGUCAGAUCAAUUCUAAAUCAAAAUAUACCUCCUGCAUUUGCAGCCAAGGCUCUUGCCUAUGUUCGAGGACUCCAGUUGGG
rnacentral:lncRNA from 1 species